AUUGAACGCUGGCGGCAGGCCUAACACAUGCAAGUCGAACGAGUGGCGGACGGGUGAGUAAUGUCUGGGAAACUGCCUGAUGGAGGGGGAUAACUACUGGAAACGGUAGCUAAUACCGCAUACCAUCGGAUGUGCCCAGAUGGGAUUAGCUAGUAGGUGGGAUAAAGGCUCACCUAGGCGACGAUCCCUGGCUGGUCAGAGAGGGUGACAAGCCACACUUGAACUGGGACACGGUCAUGACUCUGACGAGAGGCAGGAGUGGGUAAUAGUGCACAAGGGGUGCAAUACUGAAGCAGACAUGCCGCGGGUUUGAAGACGGCCUCCGAGUUGUAAAGAACCUUCAGCGGGGUAGCGUUACCAGCAGUAGAAGCACCGGAUAACUCCGGGCCAGCAGCAGCGGUAAGUC
rnacentral:rRNA from 1 species